AAUCCCAGCACUUUGGGAGGCAACGGAGGGUAGAUCACCUGAGGUCAGGAGAUUCAGACAAUUCUGGCCAACGUGGUGAAACCCCAUCUUUACUAAAAUACAAAAAAAAAAAAAA